UUGGCGUCAGCAACGUUUUGCUGUUCGGGUUUAGCCGCCAUGUUUAAGUUGGCCGGGUUUCGCACCACUGAGGUCAUGGAUACUCAGGCCUCUUUGCGUGUUUCUUCAACACUGCUUCUAAGGUUAACCGCGUUACAUUUGUUGGAGAAAAUCCUGGGAACGCUGAAAAGGACUAGUGGGUGGGGUGCGAGGGUGGGGUCUUGCCCGAAUUAAAGAUGGCCGCAGUCAGCUCUGCCCCGCGCAAUUUCACGUCAAGUUUUGGAGCUGCGGGAGCCGGCCAGUUGGCCUCAGCGCCUCCUUACGGAAUUGGCGUAAGGCAAAGAGGCGCGGCUGGAAGAACCAGACUGAGAAAGUGCCACAGGGCGGGGGCCGCAUCCGCCCCUCGGCUUCUGGUUACUGACCCGACGGCUUUGUGAGUGAAAGUGAAGAGACACUUCGAGGAGGUCCUGGAACCAAUCCCCUCUGAUACUGAGAGACAACUAUUACACAAG
rnacentral:lncRNA from 1 species